CGAACUAUAGAGUUUGAUCCUGGCUCAGAUUGAACGCUGGCGGCAUGCCUUACACAUGCAAGUCGAACGGCAGCGCGGGAGCAAUCCUGGCGGCGAGUGGCGAACGGGUGAGUAAUACAUCGGAACGUGCCCAAUCGUGGGGGAUAACGCAGCGAAAGCUGUGCUAAUACCGCAUACGAUCUACGGAUGAAAGCAGGGGAUCGCAAGACCUUGCGCGAAUGGAGCGGCCGAUGGCAGAUUAGGUAGUUGGUGAGGUAAAGGCUCACCAAGCCUUCGAUCUGUAGCUGGUCUGAGAGGACGACCAGCCACACUGGGACUGAGACACGGCCCAGACUCCUACGGGAGGCAGCAGUGGGGAAUUUUGGACAAUGGGCGAAAGCCUGAUCCAGCCAUGCCGCGUGCAGGAUGAAGGCCUUCGGGUUGUAAACUGCUUUUGUACGGAACGAAACGGUCUUUUCUAAUAAAGAAGGCUAAUGACGGUACCGUAAGAAUAAGCACCGGCUAACUACGUGCCAGCAGCCGCGGUAAUACGUAGGGUGCAAGCGUUAAUCGGAAUUACUGGGCGUAAAGCGUGCGCAGGCGGUGAUGUAAGACAGUUGUGAAAUCCCCGGGCUCAACCUGGGAACUGCAUCUGUGACUGCAUCGCUGGAGUACGGCAGAGGGGGAUGGAAUUCCGCGUGUAGCAGUGAAAUGCGUAGAUAUGCGGAGGAACACCGAUGG
rnacentral:rRNA from 1 species